rnacentral:rRNA from 1 species
UACUGGAAGUAAGGAGAGUGUACAUGUGAUAGUUAGUGCAUAAGUUCAUAUAUAUCAUUCGUUGUUUUACCUAAGAACUUAAGUUUUUCCUUUCCGUUGCUUGCUGUCGUGGCGGUAGCCGCUCUCUUUCUCCCCUCAUAGGUAAGUAGGUAAGUGUGGUAUUUCUACUCUUUCGCUGCGCUAGGAAGAAGAAGGGGUCGUUCUUUCUUUUCGGGGUGAAAUCUUCGGCCGGUAGAGGGCUCCUGGGUAGGCGCUUUGGCGCGGUUUGGGUUAGGGUCGGCAGGUGGACGGUUGGGGCGCGUCUAGGCUGCCGGGCCCGCCUGCCUCAGGGUCGCCGGCCCUCCCCGUUUGGCCAUGAAGGGGUGGCCACCGAGGCGGGUGGGGGGAAAUAGAGGGGGAGGGGGUGGAGGGCCAGGAGCAGGGACCACUGCGGGGGUUAGCUCGGCUCGAGGAGCGCUAAGGGUUAGGGGCGUGCGGAGGAGCGGGAGGAGGAGGCCGGGGCGGCGGCGGCGGCGGAGCGGUGUCCGAGUGCCAAUAAGUUCUACCUUGUGUUCCUCCGCCCAACGGUCGUCGGCCUCCCGGGUUAGGAUACGCAAUUAUUGACACCGAAGAAACCGUCACGCCGCUGGUACUUGUACACGAGGUUCACGGUGUUCCUCUACCAGUACUUCGUCCUUGUCCGGUUCGACCGACGGAGGAGGAAGCUAUCGUAGCAGUUGCCACCGCUGCCACCCUUUCGUGGACAACAACGCCGACAUCGGCGCUCGCGUCUCCACCACCAACGAGUUCAACUGCACUUCCGCGAGCAACACGUCGGACGACGACUACAACGUCCGUGGUCGCUUCGACAACGGCACUCGGGGUUCUCCUUCCUCCCCGGCUUAGCCACGAGUUGAACGUCCUUCUCCCAACCCGACUGCCCUAAGUUGACGGCGACGCCAUUGUACAUGACAAGCGACGUAGCGAUAAGGCUGUUCGUACUGACGGUCAAGCUGAUGGCCUGACGUCGAUCCCUACGGUAGCGGUUCCGGUUGGGUCACCACUUCCGUCUCUUCGAGCUGUUCUAAAUCCACAGGGUGUCCCUUCUUUACCAACGUUAGACGGUUCCAAGUAGUAGGCAGAAACGACACGGUAGGAACGUGGAGGGAAAGAACAACCGACGGCGUAAAGGAUUUAACAUGCCGCAGCACUACGUGUGACGCAGCACCGUCGACGUUCUUGAGUUAGGAGUCAGUAAGGCUUACCAAACGCACAACACAUUGAAAUAAGUACCACCAAAAAAGCCAGUCAUAACACCGAAGAGUAAAAUCGAUCGAGACAAUACAUGAUAACAGGGUACACACAAUUUAAGACUAGUCAUUAUCAUCGGUCGUUACCAAGUAGUAUAACGCACACCGAAGUAAAAGGUACAAACUCAUACAAGUUAAGUUAAUACAAAUACCAACAUAUCAACCACAAGAGUAACAACAAUCAAACCUUUUAACAUGAACCGAUCAAGAGGUGAGAGUUUAUAUGUAGGUUUAGCUUCUCGUUACUCUUUGUACCAAGACCAAGAGUUCAAAAUCAAGAUCUUGUACGCUCUCGUUACCGUUUGUACCAAUGUCAAGAAGAAUAUACAGUAACGAGAUUAGACUACUAUACACCUAAUACUACUUCGUUAGGUCCUACUUUUCUUACCUCCGGAACACCAAAUAGUGGUCAAUUUUUGAUACGGAAUCUUUUCGACUUCAAAUUUAGUCCUAAGUCGCAUACUAACCCUUACGCCUGACCGAGACGGAACAACGACAUAAGUAAAUCGAACGCGUAAGACUAGGUUCCCCUUGUUAAUGUUGUGUACCCAACUUUAGACAUACUCGACAAAACCGUACUAACAGAGAACCUUUCUUCGGUUAACCAACACGGUUUGAUAGGAAAGGUCCUCUAUCCUAAAAGAAAACGAAUUAAACACCAGUCCGGGG